GACGUAAGUCGCGAACGUUAUCCGGAAUCAUUGGGCGUAAAGGGUGCGUAGGUGGCAUAAUAAGUUAUUCGUGGGAAAUCGAGGCUCAACCUCGUGGAAGCUAGUAAUACUGUUUUGCUUGAGUGCAGAAGAGGUUAACGGAACUCCAUGUGGAGCGGUAAAAUGCGUAGAUAUAUGGAAGAGCAACAAUAACGGCGAAGGCAGGUAACUAUUCUGUUGCUGACAUUGAGGCACGAAAGCGUGGGGAGCAAAACGG
rnacentral:rRNA from 1 species